rnacentral:rRNA from 1 species
GUUAAGACCUCCAUCGCCGAUGAUACUGCUAGGUAGCUAGUGGGAAAGUAGGUCGUCGCAAGGA